CAGAGGGCAAAGGGGCUUUCCAAAGAUCAUUGCAUGAAUGGCCUACAGCUUUGGUUUAGAUGUCAUGAACUAAGCCUCGCCCAAACGAAGACUAAUACAAAUCUUGAGUUUCCUUACUCGUUUAUCAGGGAAAUAAACAAGGAAAAUGGUCACAGCAAAUACCAAGUCAAUAAAAAAUGAUGUUGAGAGCUUGAAACAAAUAAAAUCUCAUAACAAACUCAAAAUUGGUGCAAGAUAGCUUCUAGUUCUGCCACGGAAUUGUCAACUUCAAUAGCAUUUUGAGAUUUCAUUCAACUGGAAGCACUUGGGGGAAUGCAUGAUACCUUCUAUCUGCAUAAAAUAUAUUUUGACUAUCGAGAGCAAUGGGAACAUAUAGGCCAGCUCAGGUUUAGUGGCGUACUAUUAAACAACUGAACUUCAUUCUCAUGAAAUUGACACAGGAGCCCCCAUAUCCUCCAUCUUUUGACGCUUGGCUUCAGGGUCUUCGCUGUUUUCAUGGUUGAGAUGGCCAUUCACCGCCUCAGGACCCAAAAGAGAGACGUGUUUGCUAGUAAUUUGACGACCUGCCCUAAUUUUUGGCCCCCAAUGCCUUUCAGGAUUUGGAAGGAAGCGAGCAACCUUCUUGGCUUGUGCCUUGCUAAGAGAUGCAACAGCUCGAGCAAAAUUUGCUUGAAGAACAGGUUCUUUGGCAAGUAUCACACUUCCUGGUUGAUCAGGCAGUUGAGCUUUCACAGGAUGAAUUUUCACCCAGCAUCUCAUUAUAUCCCAAAUGACAUCCAUGGGAGCAUCUGAUUUUAGCCCCAGUGGAUUUACAUGUGUUCCAGAAAUGCGAUAUCCUGCAUUGAUCACAGCAGAACGGAAGAUUACUGCUUGUGGGGAAGUGCAUUUUAGUGUUGCGCAAAGGUUGUGCAGACUCAAAAAGAGCGGAACAUCAGACAAUUCCUCAGAUAUUGUCGUCAAUACUGCAGAGAUGUGAUCAUAAGCAGGAUACCGGUCCUUCAUGCAUUUUACACCUCCUAGUAUGGAAAUCACCCAUUCUUGAUCAUGAAUGGGAGCAGACCAUAUAGGUCCGCCCAUGUUAAAUUUCUUCCCACAGUGACUGCAUUCUUGAGGAACAGCAGGACCAAACCCAGGCAGAUACCUUACACUGUUGUUCUUGGCGAUUGUCCUCCCAAUAGGCUGUAGAUGAAAAGAAUCACAACCAAUGCAUUGAUAAACAUAGGAAAGCUUAAGAGGAGUGUUUUUCAUUGCACUUGCAGAGGUGUAUAUACGAACAAAAACUCGAAUGUAGAAGUCUAUUUGGACAGAUAGCACAGGGACAAUGUAACGCUUGUAGCGAUUUGCAUGGCUCUCUAUGCUGGCAAGAAGGAUCCUCAAAGCCAUUUCAUGGCAAUAUUUCCCUCUCAAUGGAUAAGAGCCAUACUUUGAAUAGCAAACCUCGCCAUUACCUCCACAAAGCACUGCCAUAUCGGUUGCUGUACACAUCAACAAGCCACCAUCAGCAACAGAUUGAACUGCAGAGUCCAAGAAUAUCGAAGGUGAUCCAUAGGGAUCAAGAUCAACCACAUCAAAUUCUUUUGGGUGCGUGAGCAUAUAUACACGAGCAUCAGCAAGAUGUGAUUCCACCUUUGAAAUUGCUACUGAACCAUUAAACUUUAUGUUUCUUCUGCAAGCUUCAACCGACGCUUGAUCAUUGUCCAAGGCCACAACUUGACCAAUCCCUUCAACCUCACGAGCAUAUCUUAGGGCUCUCAACCCAGAAGCUGACAGUGCCUAUGUAUCCAGAAUGAAAGUACUUGAAGAUAAUUCAAUAACAAUACAAAAUAUGUAAAAAAUGAAACAACAAAGCUAUUAGCAAAUAAUUAAUGAAAAGAGCAUAAUAAUAUAUAAAAAAACUAGAUAUUCAUAAUAAAACCUCAAGAACUGUUGGGGGCUCCAGCUCCUGUCGAACUUUGCACUCUGUGGUCUUCAUUGGUUCUACUGAUAUGCUACCAGGUUCGUCCUUUGUUAUCUCUUCUGGCACAUCACAUUCUCCGUCUAAUUUUUUAUUAUCCAAAGCAGGUUCAUUAGAGACCUCUUCAGUAGCAGAUCCUGAAGCAGCUUUCUCAGAUGCCUUUUCUUCACAUUCUCCAUUUGCUUUUUCGUUAUUGAAAGCAGGCUUAUCAAAUGCUUCUUCAACAGGAGAUCCAGAAGUGUCUUUCUCUGAUACCUUUUGUAUUGAUUUUGUUCUUCUGGACAUCCUUGCUUCAUGUUCCUCUUUGCGUUUAGAUAUAAAUGUCCUUAGGACAGCAAUGGAUAAGUCUCUGUUGUGAACCUGGGCUUUGUUGAAAAACACUUUGUUUUUGUUAUGCAUGAGAAUCUCAGCCUCUCCUUCCUUGAUAAUGGUAUAGUCAUCGAGAUCCAUAGUCAAUAUUUCUCUGUUUUCAUGCAGCAACAAAAGAUUACUCUUGUAGGUCUUUGCUUCUUCUUCAGCAGAUUCUCUCUUAUGCUUGUUUUGAGGUUUCUGCUUCCUAGAAAUUGAAGAUAGAAACUUUAGCAAUGAUAGGCUCAGAGUAUUUAUUGAGGAGAGACCUUUUUGCAGUUUCAGAGUUCG
rnacentral:misc_RNA from 1 species